AGAGCGCAACCUUGCCAAGGUUGAGGUCACGAGUUCGAACCUCGUGUGUCGCUCCA
rnacentral:tRNA from 1 species